GCAAACUCGUGGGUGGGAGCUCCCCCCGGGACACUGCAAGCUGCCUUCUUAAGGUGGGCCGGGGGAAGAGCCGCCCCCCCCGAGGGAUGCGGGGCAGGUUGGAGGAGAAGUCCCUCUAUCCCAUCCCUGCACCGGUUCCUGGGCGCACAUGGACAUCUCUGGCGUGUCCCCUCACCUGGCAGACAAUGGGCUUAGCAGGAGCACAUCCAACAUAGAGGAUGGAAGCCUACAGCCCAGAGAGGGGAGACACAUCCUCCACUAUCUGCUCCUGCUGCAGUUCCUCCCACCACCCCAUGACACUUCAAGGCCAGGGACCAGCCCGGUGCCCAGCACAGCCACACUCCCUGCGUCCAGGCACUGCUGGCAGCUCCCAGCGCUCUGCUCACCCAGGGACAGCGUGCAGCCCUGCAGGCAGGAGCUGAGCAGCAGCACCCAGCACAGGGCUCAACCCAAGGGCAGCAGCCGUAGCCGUGCCGGGACCACUGCAGCCACCAGCUCCGACUCCCUCCCCAGCAGCCGCUGGGCUGUCGGCUUUAUUUAGAGCUUCACAUAAACAAACAGCAAAGAUAGCUGAAGUGUCUUGGCACCAUCAAUCCGCACGCAGCUCAGCCCGGGUGUGUUCUCUGCAUUCUCAUUUCUGGUGCCGCGAGCCUCCCCCUCGGCCCUGCCGGUACAGCUACACCCGUGCAUUACAUCCAGCUUUAAUUGACCUCGCUUGCUCUGGAGCUGGGGCAGCACCUGGGAUGGCUGCAAUUCACCCCUGAACCCCCAGAGCGGCUCCAACCACUGCUGUUCCCAGGGAGCUCCCAGGAGCCCAGCGCAGCCGCUGCCUCAUUUCCCCUUCCCACAUCUGGUGAGCACGUGAGCCAGCAGCAGGGUUUGGCUUUCGGCCUCUUGCACAGGCAGCGUGACGAUAAAUCAGCUCUUUGCGUGGGGAAGGGACAGGGAAUCGACUACAGUUUGAGGGGAAUCCUGCAGCACCUUGCAUCCCGUGUAUGGGAGCAGAGCAAGGCAAGGUGCCGAUGGGAUGCAGCCCUGCCUCCAGUCCCCAUUCUUUUGAAGCAACAGCCCAGCUCCUGGGGGCCCGGCUGCCUGCAGCCUGUCUGGGCUGUUCUCCUGCUUAGGAGGCUCAGACAAACCCGUGAGCACGGAGCACAGACAGCCCCGUGCGCAAGCAGAGCGCUCGGGAAGGAAAGUUAGAGCUUAAAAAAGCUCGGCGAGAGGAGGCACCGCGGCACAGCAGAUGGUGCGGCGCGAGCUUCCCAGGGAAGAGCUGCUCCUGCUCCCCGUUAGGGAGCAUAUGGGCAGCAUGGGCUGCCUCCCUGCUGCCUGCGCUGGAAUGCGGGGUUUGGAGAAGCCGGCCUGGGGAGCAGCCCCUGCCCUGUGCUGAAGGCAGGGACAUGGGAGCGUGGUGCUUUGGAGGUGUGACACUAUUGCCAGUGCUUUCCUAUGCACAUGAGCAGAAGGCUCAGGAGCACCGGUGCUGCACCCAUGGCACCUCCACACUCCAGAGCACAACCCCUGCUCCAGGCUCGCGCUGUCAGAUCCUGGCCCCUAGGAGCUGCUGCUGGGGCUAAGGGUUUGGGACUGUUUUCAGCCCUUUUCGUGGCUUUGAAGCAACAAACAGCUUCCUCAAGGUGGGUUAGGGCAAGCCUAGGGCAAGCCACAGCAGCAUCACCUUGCAGGGAGGCUCUUAAGCAGAUCUCCAUAUCUGAGCCCAGCGGCAGCACUGCAAACUCACAGCUGUCCCCACCAGCCAACAACCACCAACAGCAUAUGCACGGCACUCAGGUUUGCAGGGAUCCACAGAAGCUCAGAGCCACGCAGCUGUAUCCUGACUCAGCCCCAGUUUGGGGGCACGCAUCCUGCAGAACCCCCCACCACCCCCGAGCUGUGGGUUCAGCCCCUGCAGGGCCCUCAGCUGGGAGAAAAGCACAGAAACAUCUCCUUAAGGAGGGAGCUCCAAUUACGCUGCUGAUAUUUAGGGCUUCCAGCACAACAAAUGGAGCUUCAGCUUCAUUAGGUACCAUGCCAACUUAGCCCAAGACAUCCAGUACAGAAGGAGCUUAAAU